rnacentral:tRNA from 1 species
UCCUGGGUGGCUCAAUCGUAAAGAAUCUGCCUGUAAUUCAGGAGACUCAGGUUAGAUUCCUGAGUUGGGAA